AAUGAUGAAUUGGAUUAGCCCCACAAUCAGGUUGCCAAAACAGCAAGCUCAAAUGUGAAAAUAGGGAAAUUCUAAUGAUGUUAUUCAAUAAAUUAACCUAUGUACUUCUUUAUUGUAGACAAGAAACAGAGUAUAUAGCCGAAUUCUGUCUCUGUGUUCUCAAAAUAUUAGUGGGACCAGAUCUCCUCAAGAAUUAUUCAAAACUUCUGGAUUGACUCAGAAAUGGGUGAACAGGGAAAUAUCCAAUUUUGAUUACCUCAUUCAGUUAAAUACAAUGGCAGGACGCACCUACAAUGAUCUUGCGCAAUAUCCUGUUUUUCCAUGGAUUCUGCAGGAUUAUACUUCAGAAGAAUUGGAUUUGAAUAAUCCUGCAGUGUUUCGGGAUUUGUCUAAGCCUAUUGGUGUAGUGAAUGAAAAGAAUGUGAGAGCUGUAAAUGAAAGGUAUUUCUUUUGAAGUAAUCUUUUAAUUGAUGUCCUUAUUAUGGAUCUGCUUCUUCUUAAUGUUAACGCUUGUUCUCCUCCUCCAACUAAUAAGUGGAAUUUAUUGUUCAGAUGGUAGUGAAGAAUUGAAGAAAACUAUUCAAGUAUUCAUUGAUAAGCAGGUUUAGGAUGAGAGCAUUUUAAAUUGUCACAGCCAAUAAA